AGUCUCCAGAGACCAUCUCCCAUCUCUACAGCGACUCCCCUAUGACCGUCCCCCACCCGGUGCUCUCGGGCCACGGGGAAGGGACACUCGGGAAAGACACCAGAGACCGGGAGGGUGCAGCUGGGCUCUUCGCGGGGAGCGGGCGGGAGGCCUUCCUGUUACAUGUCGCAGCUGGGACACAGACGGCAGCGCUCCAGGGUCCACUUGCCGGCUUCGGUUCCCUCAGGCCCAGGACCAGGCUCCACACCGCUGUCGCGUCCCUUAGCCGUGUGGGCUGUAGCACAGAGGGGGCAAACACCUCCAGGGGCUUGUGCCAAGUAAUUACCAAGCAAAUUCCCGGCGAUUUCCUCUCCUCCCCCCGCCCCCCCGGGCAGUGCCCGCUGCGUGUUCCCUGAUUCGGCCCCCGGCUGUGCAAUCAGCUCCAGGUAACCUGCGGGGACCCGUAAUUGCUCUGGAGUUGCCUGCGAGUUUGCAAGGUGGACACGGAAUUGUAGUGCUGGUCCUCCCUCUGCACUGGACUGGAUUCUGCCAAAGUCAACCAAGCGCCUUCAGUUGCUGACUCUCGUCUCCAGGCCAGGCCCUGAGCCUUAUCUUUUCAUCAUAUGCCCAUCAAGGUAUAUUGCUAAAGAGAAGAGAGCUCUCCAAUUUCAGAAGUUCUGCCUAAGCUUUAACGCCUGAUGUCUGGGAGCUCGUCUAAUUCUGCCACUUUAAGGGUCUACUCUGCAGUCCUCAAAGUUCAGAUGAUUCUUCCCCAAACCAUCAAAGACAGCCCUGGCUGUCUCUGAGUUCUUAUGCCCAUGAGGAUGACCUAUGAAUCCCAGAAAGAUACAGAAUUGAGAAUCACCAGAGAACUCUGUUCCAGGAAUCAAGUGAUUAAAGUUACAGUUCCAGUGUCAUCACUAAAUAGCAAGGUGACCUUGGAUGCCUCAUUUUAUCAAAUCUCUCCAUUUUUCAACCUCUAAAAGUAGGAUAAUUUCACAGAUUUGUUAUAAGGAUGAAAAGAGAAAAUGGAUGGGAAAAGUUUGUGAAAGCCUUUGAGAUGUAGGACAAUAAAAAUGGGAAGAGAUCUGCUGGGAUGUUAUCUAGCCCAACCUUCCACCAGGGGCUCACUGAGACUCUGCAUGGAACUUUCACUAAUGGAAAAAUCACUCCCUCGCAGCAAGGUUUCAUUGUUGGCAGACACAAAAAGGACUUUCAAAAAUUAUUUUUAAAAUUUAAGAGAUAUUAUGUCUCUAGGAUGAUAUACAUGUUUCAAGUAGUAUUAAAAGCCACACUGAUGGAUAUGUAAUAAUA
rnacentral:lncRNA from 1 species